rnacentral:rRNA from 1 species
AGUCUAACAUGUGCGCGAGUCGUCGGGCUCGCUACUAAACCCGAAGGCGAAGCGAAAGUGAACGUAGGGAGGAGGGCGGCGGAGAGAUCCGCGGCGCCCGCACUCCCGGGGCGUCUCACCGGACCUCAUUCGGUCCGAGGGACGCACCUUGAGCGUACACGUUGGGACCCGAAAGAUGGUGAACUAUGCCUGGCCAGGACGAAGUCAGGGGAAACCCUGAUGGAGGUCCGCAGCGAUUCUGACGUGCAAAUCGAUCGUCAGAGCUGGGUAUAGGGGCGAAAGACCAAUCGAACCGUCUAGUAGCUGGUUCCCUCCGAAGUUUCCCUCAGGAUAGCUGGCGCUCGGAGGAAGCAGUCUCAUACGGUAAAGCGAAUGAUUAGAGGCAUUGGGGCCGAAACGACCUCACCCUAUUCUCAAACUUUAAAUGGGUGAGAUCUCCGGCUUGCUCAGAGGUGAAGCCGGAGUACGAGCAGGAUGAGAGUGCCAAGUGGGCCAUUUUUGGUAAGCAGAACUGGCGCUGUGGGAUGAACCAAACGCCGAGUUAAGGCGCCCGAAGCGACGCUCAUCGGAAACCAUGAAAGGUGUUGGUUGCUUAAGACAGCAGGACGGUGGCCAUGGAAGUCGGAAUCCGCUAAGGAGUGUGUAACAACUCACCUGCCGAAGCAACUAGCCCUGAAAAUGGAUGGCGCUGAAGCGUCGUGCCUAUACUCGGCCGUCGGCGGCAAGGGGGGGCGCUAGCGCGCCUCCGGCCAAGCCCCGACGAGUAGGAGGGUCGCGGCGGCGAGCUCAGAAGGGUCCGGGCGCGAGCCUGCCUGGAGCCGCCGCCGGCGCAGAUCUUGGUGGUAGUAGCAAAUACUCCAGCGAGGACCUGGAGGACUGACGCGGAGAAGGGUUUCGUGUGAACAGCCGUUGCACACGAGUCAGUCGAUCCUAAGCCCUAGGGGAAACCCUACGCGGAUGGUCCGGCGCAAGGUAGCGGCUAUAGCUACGCCGGCCGUCGGGCGAAAGGGAAUCCGGUUCCUAUUCCGGAACCCGGCAGCGGAACCGUUCCAGUUCGGGCCCUCGCGAGAGAGCUCGUCGGGGUAACCCAACAGGACCCGGAGACGCCGUCGGGAGAUCGGGGAAGAGUUUUCUUUUCUGCGUGAGCGUUCGAGUUCCCUGGAAUCCUCUAGCAGGGAGAUAGGGUUCGGAACGCGAAGAGCACCGCAGUUGCGGCGGUGUCCCGAUCUUCCCCUCGGACCUUGAAAAUCCGGGAGAGGGCCACGUGGAGCUUUCGCGCCGGCUCGUACCCAUAUCCGCAGCAGGUCUCCAA